rnacentral:rRNA from 1 species
CUCUGACCGUGCUAAGGUAGCAUAAUCAAUCGCCAUGUAAUUUAUGGCUAGAAUGAACGGCUUUACAAGUCCUCCUCUGUCUCAGCUUUACCCCUACUGAAAUUAAAUAUGUUGUGAAGAUGCAACUUACUCUUGGAAGGACGAGAAGACCCCGUUGAGCUUAACUCCUGUUCCCCCACCUUUAAACUUAAACCCUAGGGAGCAGCAGGUACUUGGAGGAAAAGGAGUUUGGUUGGGGCGACCACCUAAACAGAAGCAACUUAGGUAAACCAAGGUUAACAAUCAAUAUAGUAAGCCUAACUAAUAGACUGAUAAGUUAGUUAGAUAGUAGUUACAGGUAAGUUAUAGCGACCCUCCAUCAUAAGGAGAAAUUAGAUAAAAGUUACCACGGGGAUAACAGGGUUAUCUAGCCGCAAAGUUCAUAUUGAAAGCUAGGUUUGCCACCUCGAUGUUGAAUAGCAGUGUCCUAGGGGUGCAGCAGCUCCUAAGGGUUGGUCUGUUCGACCAUUAAAACCUUACAUGAUUUGAGUUCAUUCC